GGUUAAGCGACUAAGCGUACACGGUGGAUGCCCUGGCAGUCAGAGGCGAUGAAGGACGUGCUAAUCUGCGAUAAGCGUCGGUAAGGUGAUAUGAACCGUUAUAACCGGCGAUUUCCGAAUGGGGAAACCCAGUGUGAUUCGUCACACUAUCAUUAACUGAAUCCAUAGGUUAAUGAGGCGAACCGGGGGAACUGAAACAUCUAAGUACCCCGAGGAAAAGAAAUCAACCGAGAUUCCCCCAGUAGCGGCGAGCGAACGGGGAGCAGCCCAGAGCCUGAAUCAGUGUGUGUGUUAGUGGAAGCGUCUGGAAAGGCGCGCGAUACAGGGUGACAGCCCCGUACACAAAAAUGCACAUGCUGUGAGCUCGAUGAGUAGGGCGGGACACGUGGUAUCCUGUCUGAAUAUGGGGGGACCAUCCUCCAAGGCUAAAUACUCCUGACUGACCGAUAGUGAACCAGUACCGUGAGGGAAAGGCGAAAAGAACCCCGGCGAGGGGAGUGAAAAAGAACCUGAAACCGUGUACGUACAAGCAGUGGGAGCACGCUUAGGCGUGUGACUGCGUACCUUUUGUAUAAUGGGUCAGCGACUUAUAUUCUGUAGCAAGGUUAACCGAAUAGGGGAGCCGAAGGGAAACCGAGUCUUAACUGGGCGUUAAGUUGCAGGGUAUAGACCCGAAACCCGGUGAUCUAGCCAUGGGCAGGUUGAAGGUUGGGUAACACUAACUGGAGGACCGAACCGACUAAUGUUGAAAAAUUAGCGGAUGACUUGUGGCUGGGGGUGAAAGGCCAAUCAAACCGGGAGAUAGCUGGUUCUCCCCGAAAGCUAUUUAGGUAGCGCCUCGUGAAUUCAUCUCCGGGGGUAGAGCACUGUUUCGGCAAGGGGGUCAUCCCGACUUACCAACCCGAUGCAAACUGCGAAUACCGGAGAAUGUUAUCACGGGAGACACACGGCGGGUGCUAACGUCCGUCGUGAAGAGGGAAACAACCCAGACCGCCAGCUAAGGUCCCAAAGUCAUGGUUAAGUGGGAAACGAUGUGGGAAGGCCCAGACAGCCAGGAUGUUGGCUUAGAAGCAGCCAUCAUUUAAAGAAAGCGUAAUAGCUCACUGGUCGAGUCGGCCUGCGCGGAAGAUGUAACGGGGCUAAACCAUGCACCGAAGCUGCGGCAGCGACGCUUAUGCGUUGUUGGGUAGGGGAGCGUUCUGUAAGCCUGUGAAGGUGUGCUGUGAGGCAUGCUGGAGGUAUCAGAAGUGCGAAUGCUGACAUAAGUAACGAUAAAGCGGGUGAAAAGCCCGCUCGCCGGAAGACCAAGGGUUCCUGUCCAACGUUAAUCGGGGCAGGGUGAGUCGACCCCUAAGGCGAGGCCGAAAGGCGUAGUCGAUGGGAAACAGGUUAAUAUUCCUGUACUUGGUGUUACUGCGAAGGGGGGACGGAGAAGGCUAUGUUGGCCGGGCGACGGUUGUCCCGGUUUAAGCGUGUAGGCUGGUUUUCCAGGCAAAUCCGGAAAAUCAAGGCUGAGGCGUGAUGACGAGGCACUACGGUGCUGAAGCAACAAAUGCCCUGCUUCCAGGAAAAGCCUCUAAGCAUCAGGUAACAUCAAAUCGUACCCCAAACCGACACAGGUGGUCAGGUAGAGAAUACCAAGGCGCUUGAGAGAACUCGGGUGAAGGAACUAGGCAAAAUGGUGCCGUAACUUCGGGAGAAGGCACGCUGAUAUGUAGGUGAGGUCCCUCGCGGAUGGAGCUGAAAUCAGUCGAAGAUACCAGCUGGCUGCAACUGUUUAUUAAAAACACAGCACUGUGCAAACACGAAAGUGGACGUAUACGGUGUGACGCCUGCCCGGUGCCGGAAGGUUAAUUGAUGGGGUUAGCGCAAGCGAAGCUCUUGAUCGAAGCCCCGGUAAACGGCGGCCGUAACUAUAACGGUCCUAAGGUAGCGAAAUUCCUUGUCGGGUAAGUUCCGACCUGCACGAAUGGCGUAAUGAUGGCCAGGCUGUCUCCACCCGAGACUCAGUGAAAUUGAACUCGCUGUGAAGAUGCAGUGUACCCGCGGCAAGACGGAAAGACCCCGUGAACCUUUACUAUAGCUUGACACUGAACAUUGAGCCUUGAUGUGUAGGAUAGGUGGGAGGCUUAGAAGUGUGGACGCCAGUCUGCAUGGAGCCGACCUUGAAAUACCACCCUUUAAUGUUUGAUGUUCUAACGUUGACCCGUGAUCCGGGUUGCGGACAGUGUCUGGUGGGUAGUUUGACUGGGGCGGUCUCCUCCUAAAGAGUAACGGAGGAGCACGAAGGUUGGCUAAUCCUGGUCGGACAUCAGGAGGUUAGUGCAAUGGCAUAAGCCAGCUUGACUGCGAGCGUGACGGCGCGAGCAGGUGCGAAAGCAGGUCAUAGUGAUCCGGUGGUUCUGAAUGGAAGGGCCAUCGCUCAACGGAUAAAAGGUACUCCGGGGAUAACAGGCUGAUACCGCCCAAGAGUUCAUAUCGACGGCGGUGUUUGGCACCUCGAUGUCGGCUCAUCACAUCCUGGGGCUGAAGUAGGUCCCAAGGGUAUGGCUGUUCGCCAUUUAAAGUGGUACGCGAGCUGGGUUUAGAACGUCGUGAGACAGUUCGGUCCCUAUCUGCCGUGGGCGCUGGAGAACUGAGGGGGGCUGCUCCUAGUACGAGAGGACCGGAGUGGACGCAUCACUGGUGUUCGGGUUGUCAUGCCAAUGGCACUGCCCGGUAGCUAAAUGCGGAAGAGAUAAGUGCUGAAAGCAUCUAAGCACGAAACUUGCCCCGAGAUGAGUUCUCCCUGACUCCUUGAGAGUCCUGAAGGAACGUUGAAGACGACGACGUUGAUAGGCCGGGUGUGUAAGCGCAGCGAUGCGUUGAGCUAACCGGUACUAAUGAACCGUGAGGCUUAACCUU
rnacentral:rRNA from 1 species